AGUGAACGCUGGCGGUAGGCCUAACACAUGCAAGUCGAACGGCAGCACAGUAAGAGCUUGCUCUUACGGGUGGCGAGUGGCGGACGGGUGAGGAAUACAUCGGAAUCUACUUUUUCGUGGGGGAUAACGUAGGGAAACUUACGCUAAUACCGCAUACGACCUACGGGUGAAAGCAGGGGAUCUUCGGACCUUGCGCGAUUGAAUGAGCCGAUGUCGGAUUAGCUAGUUGGCGGGGUAAAGGCCCACCAAGGCGACGAUCCGUAGCUGGUCUGAGAGGAUGAGCAGCCGCACUGGAACUGAGACACGGUCCAGACUCCUACGGGAGGCAGCAGUGGGGAAUAUUGGACAAUGGGCGCAAGCCUGAUCCAGCCAUACCGCGUGGGUGAAGAAGGCCUUCGGGUUGUAAAGCCCUUUUGUUGGGAAAGAAAAGCAGCAGGUUAAUACCCCGCUGUUCUGACGGUACCCAAAGAAUAAGCACCGGCUAACUUCGUG
rnacentral:rRNA from 1 species